GGGGCCGGUCUCUGCUCUGAGCGAGCUGAACGUUCGCCGGCCGGCGUCCGUACGUCUCGGUCACAGAAACUCGUGGUUGAGAUGGCCGUGUCACCGGGGAUGCCGCGCUUGUCCCGUUGCAGGCGAAGAUUAGGGCCCAAGCAACCCCAAGUGCGGCCCCAUGGUCUCACUCAGGCCUUGUUUAGUUGGCAAAAUUUUAGUUUUUUUUUUGCUACUGUAGCAUUUUUGUUUUUAUUUGACAAACAUUAUCCAAUCAUGGAGUAACUAGACUCAAAAGAUUCAUCUCACAAAUUUCAGGUAAACUACGUAAUUAGUUUUUAUUUUUAUCUUUAUUUAAUGCUCCAUGCAUAUGACCAAAGAUUCGAUGUGACGAGAAAUCUUGAAAAUUUUUGAGAACUAAACAAGGCCUCACUCUCACUCUCACCGCCACUGGGCUUUUUGCUUGUAAAACCCUGCGACUGACCAUUGCAGCAAAACGCCAUGGCCGCCUGAGGUCACGACAGGGGAAAAGGCAAGGAGUUUCUUCUACCGGAAGUGUACAAUGACGCCGCGCUGGGGGACAACGCGCCCGCGGCCGGGAUAACGAAGAACUUCAGGGAGAUUGCGAGCCUAAGCAACAACCAAACCAAAACGUGUGUGCGUGUGUUGUUGUUGUUGCGAUUGCAACAAGCCGGGCCAGACCUUCUUCUGGUCCCGCGGUCCGCAACCGCAGAAUCCAGUGGGUUUUGUGGCGGACGUAUGCGCUUGUUGUCUUGCGAUCCCCCGGGUCUCGUUAUGCCCAAGUUAACGCGGGAGGCUCCGCGACGUGUGGCGAGCCUGCUCUGCUGCUGUCGCUUUGCUGCUCGAUUCACUUGCUUCAACAGGAGAGGAUAACACAAUGCAGCCAAGAAGAGCACUGCCAACUACUACUGGGAUGAUGAAAAGCAAGCGUGGAUCAACCAAGAAACGCACUGGCCAAUCAUUGAACGAAGAGUGCAGUGCAGUGCUGUACUGUACUUCUUGGGCUGAAAGCUUGGUGCUUCCAUUUCAGUGGCGUUAAACUACAGGUUCUUUUUUGAGAUUGUUAAAUUACAGGUUUUUGAGAAAGAAGCUGGUUCAACUAUUAGCGGCUUCUGUAUUCGGGGUGGGCUACUGGGCUUAUUUUGUGCUCUCCUAUGGAACAAUCAGGUCCACGAAUCGGGUAACUUCCCGGGCCUACAUUACAGUCCA
rnacentral:lncRNA from 1 species